CAGCCGCCGCGGUAAUACUAGGCGGUCAAGUCGCAGCCAUUUUUAUUGGGUCUAAAACAUCCGUAGCUUGCUAUGUAAGUCUCUUGUGAAAUUUUGUAUCUCAAAUACAGAGCGUGCAAGAGUACUGCAAAGCUAGAGACCGGGAGACGUAAAAAGUACGUUCAAAGUAGCGGUAAAAUGUUUUAAUCUUGAACGGACUCACAAUAGCGAAGGCAUUUUACGAGAACGGUUCUGACAGUCAGGGAUGAAGGCUAGGGUCGCGAAACAGAUUAGAUACCUGUGUAGUCCUAGCAGUAAACACUGCACACUAAACAUCAGUUCCUCCUCGAGAGGCAUUGGUGCUGUAGGGAAGCCGUAGAGUGUGCUACCUGGGAAGUAUAGUCGCAAGGCCGAAACUUAAAGGAAUUGGCGGGGAGACACUACAACGGGUGACGCGUGCGGUUCAAUCAGAUUAUACACCGUGAACCUCACCAGGACCGACAGCAGAAUGAAAGUCAGUCUAAAGGGCUUACCUGACACGCUGAGAGGAGUUGCAUGGCCGACGUCAGCCUGUGUCGUGAGAUGACCUGUUAAAUCAGGUAACAGGCAAGACCCACAUGUAUAUUUACUAAUGAACUAUAUACAGAUUGCUUGGUAACAAGGAUGAAAGUGUGGGCUACGUUAGGUGAGUACAGCCCGACAGCCCUGGGCAACACGCGCGCGUCAAUGGCGAAUACAACGAGAUGCGACACCGAGAGGUGAAGCUAAUCUCUUAAAGUUCGUCUCAGUCCAGAUUGAGGUUUGUAACUCAGCCUCAUGACGCUGGAAUCCGUAGUAAUCGUUUGUUAUCAGCGAACGGUGAAUACGUCACUGUCUCUUGCACACACUGCCCGUCAAACCAACCAAGUUUAGUUAUGGUGAAACUUUUCGAAGGAGAACCUUGGCUAGAUGAGGUAGGUUAAGUCGUAACAAGGUAACCGUA
rnacentral:rRNA from 1 species